ncrna:unclassified sequences type-P1 twister ribozyme
CUCUUAAUGCAGCCACCGCAAGGUGAUGGUCACAAGCCCAUAAAAUGCAGAGUGGGAG